rnacentral:antisense_RNA from 1 species
CUUGAUCGAGCCCAGGUACACCGGCCGGUCGGCGGGCCGGUCCUGCCCGUAGGUCGCCAGCACGGCCUGCGCCUC